rnacentral:lncRNA from 1 species
AUGCAUCAUCCACCACCCGUAGAUCGUUCAUGCUGAUGGAUUUUUCUUCCACAGCAUCAUCGGAUCCAGCCUCACCGACUGUGGUGCCGCUGUCAGGGCCAUCGAUGUCGAACCAGAAGAUGUCAGACAAUGGAUCCGAGAUGAGAUUCCCUUUCAUGGGGAGCCAGAGGAAGAGCUCCUCUAGGGAGAGCCCUCCACUCCCCAGAGCAUCUGUAGCUAAGGUUGCUGGGAACCAC